AGUGAGCUGAGAUCAUGCCACUGCAAUCCAGUCUGGGCAACAGAAUGAGACCCUGUCUCAAAAAAAAAAUACAGUUGAAUGAUUUUUAUUCUCCUCUUUCCUUUUUAUCUACAAUAAAGUUCAUUUUGAUUGUAUGGUCAUCCAUGGUUUUUGGAAGUUUGAAAAAUGCUAAACAACCUACUCAAACCCAUGAGGCCUCAGGGUUAACUAGGCUAGUGAAGGACUUAAGAAUAAGACCUACACCCCACCCCACAGCCAGAGAAAGAGCUUUCAUAGCCCCUGGAAGGGAAGUUCUUAUAUCCUGGGGUGAAGUUGCAGACAGCAGCUACCAGGCAUGGCAGAGGCCUGUAUUAUCUAUGUGCUGGAGUCCAGAACCAGCACAGGAUUUUUUAUUUAGCAGAGUCAGUAAUGACCAGUCAUGCCAUAUAAAUCUAAAAGGCAAGGCUUGUUUUGUUUUCAUUUUUGUUUUUGUUUUGCAGAGAUGGAGAGAUAGGCUGCUUGGCUCUUUGGUUGGGUCUUUAUAAAGCUUUGCUUAUCUUAUAUUGCUUACUUAAUUUUGGAGGGAAACCGCUAACAGACACACCCUGGUGAUGGUUCUUUGUUCACCUCAAGGCCUUGUUGUUAUGUUGUUGUUGUUUGUUUUUGUGUGUGUGUGUUUUUGUUUUGUUUUGUUUUGUUUUGAGAUGGAGUCUUGCUCUAUCCCCCAGGCUGGAGUGCAGUGCCAUGAUCUCGGCUUACUGCAAUCUCCACCUCCCAGGUUCAAGCGAUUCUCCUACUUCAGCCUCCCGAGUAGCUGGGAUUACAGGUGCCCACCACCACACCCAGCUAAUUUUUUUGUAUUUUUUAGUAGAGAUGGGGUUUCACCAUGUUGGCCAGGAUGGUCUUGAUCUACUGACCUCGUGAUCCACCCGCCUCGGCCUCCCAAAGUGCUGGGAUUACAGGUGUAAGCCACCGCCCCCAGCCAUUAUUUUGUUUUGUUUUGUUUUGUUUUUUUGUUUUGUUUUUAGAAAGCUUUUACAAGAUUACAAGAAAUGACUCUCUUACGGAAGAAAAAUAACCACCCAGUUUCCCUUCCUAGUCUUCGUUCAAUUCAUAGAGUGUUGUGUUUAUCCCCAAAGGGUCUUGUAGUCUUCAUUGCAAACAUUUGAUUCUGAUCUACUCACAUACAAGGAAAUGUAGAUUUGCCAAGACCAAAACUAGAGGGGCGGGCUUCCCAUCAGGGUUUUCCUGUGGGGAGAUGACAAGAGAAACAGGGAGGAAAUCCUAAUUAUGGCUUGUCCUCUUCCCUGAAUUGCUGUCUACGACAGUGUAGUUUAAAUGUAAACAAGGUGGGUUAGGGACGGUUUGUGUAGGGCAGGAGGCCCACCCAGAAGGCCUACCCAGGGAAGAGAGGGCCCAGAACCUAGGUGCAGCAUUUGCCUAGUAACCCUACCCCGGCCUUUCUUUGUAUGUUAGGAAGCUGGAAAUGCAGGCUGGUCUCCCUUUCUUGCCUUUGUCACUAACCCCGAGCUGUCAGCCAUUUGGAAUCAGAACUGCUUUCCAGUGUUCUAAGUCCUUAUUUGAUGACAAAUAUUUGGUGAAUCAAAGUAAGGCACUUUGGUCCUAAUUUUUGACCUUUGGUCCUAAUUUUUGUUUGUAGUUUGUGGAGAAUAACCCUGACCUUACCAGGGGUCCUGGGAAUGUGAAUCCAUUCAUCAAGUGGUUCCACAUCUAGAAGCAUUUUGCCUAUGCCGUGUGGAGAAAAGUAGAGUGCCACAAAGCCCAGGCAUCAUUCAACACGAGGCCAACUAUCUGCUGCCAGUCUGGCAUAAGAUCAGAUUGAAACUGCUAAGUAAUGGUACAUCCAACUAAACAAAGUUCUUCCAAGAGAGUAAACCCAAGUCAUCUUAUACACGUAUUUGUUCUGGGUUGGCGGGGAUGACAGUUCAGUAGAGUCCGAUGUUCUAGAGCAGAGGUUCUCAACCCUGGCUGUAAAUUAGGAUCAUCUGGCCAGUUUUUGUUUUUAAAUCAGUGCAAGGGCCCUCCCCUCAGAGAUUCGGAUUCAGUAGCUUCAGAUGGGACCUGGAAUCCAUGCUUUGUUUGGAACCUCAGGAGUGUCCUUGAUGUGCAGCCAGGAUUGACAAGAGCCUUUAGUCUAGGGCUCGCAGCAGACCCUAUUUGGAAUCUGAUUUUAAAGAAUGGUCUAGCAGAUGAAGGUUUUUUUUUUUUUUUUAAAUUGUUAGUCAUGUGAAACGAACUGAGUAUUGACCAAUAAUACAGGCUGGGCAGCUAUGAGAGAGUUUGAUGCUAAUCUUUGCAGAACUCAAGAACAUACUCCAUAAAGUACAGCUGAAAAGAUCACGAAAACCUUGGAGUCUUCAAGGAGAGAGAAGGGUGACUUGGAGUAUGUAUGGGGAGAAUUAAAAACCUGCCAUCUUGGUUCCCACUUGUGGGGAAUAAAGGGAAGGUAUUAACUGAGCUGCUGACUAAUCAAGCAUGAAGGUUUCUGGGAAGCUGUUUUGUUUUGUUUUUAAUUUCACCUGGAAUUAAAUUAAUAGUCCCCUCUGGAGUCAGAUUUUCUUUCCCUUCACCUGGCCUCAUGCCUGAGUCCACAUUGGAUUCCUCAGAGUAAGGGUGGGCCCGUUUACUGCUGGAGCAAAGUAGAAGGUUGUGGUCCUUUGCUAUCACAUGGUGAUGGUGGUAGUUUCUGUAGCAGGUGAUUAAGGAGAUGUACACUUUUGUGUAGCCUUGACAGAGAGAAGAUGAAAGCUGCUAUUCCUUUUAGUACGCUUUUUGAGAACUACCAGAAACCUAAACUUUCUCUCCUAGAGAAGAAAAUUUGGAAUUUAAAUAAGGCCACAUUUCUUCCUAGGAAACAAGCACAGGAAGGGCAUAUGGAUCCGAGCAUCCAGGGUGGUUACUGGGGUGAUGAGACAAAUAAGCAUUGAUGCCUGGAAGGCAGAAAUCACACUGUGACAUCAAAUGUUUCAUCAAGCAAACAGCAAGGAGCUCUUCAGGCUGUGUUCUCUAGACCCGAAAAUGUCCUCUGUGGUUUGGCUGACAAAUGGAAUCUCUUUAGAAAACAUGCAAAAGGGUAUCUCAGCUAUCCAUGAAUGAUUCAGUCUAGGGCAAAGAACUAACAGUUCCAAAAUAGAGGUCUGUUGGUCUGUUUCACGUCAUCCCGUCAUCCUAUCUCUCCCUGUCCUUGUCUGCAGUGGAAGUUAAUGGAAUCAUACCAGAUGUUUAAUGUGAACAAGUGAUUUCCAAAUGUAGAAACACCACUGAUGUAUUUAGGGGGAAAAACAGUGGCAGGGUGUUAGAGCAUCUCAUCAGAGGUGAAAAUCACCCACUUGGAAACCUACCAUGUACCCGUUGUGAGUUCUAAGAGUGUAUCAGAAAGCUGAUUUUACCAUCUGUUGUGAAAGAUUAUCUGCAAUGAGGGCUGCUAGGAAGUCAGCCUACUGAUCUCACAAGUAUAUGACUUCUUAUUCCACUUCAAAAGUGGGGAACUUGACAAGUUUCUUGUCUGCCUUUUGAUGUUGAUUCUAUAGAUUCAUUAGUUCAGGAAAAAGUCUUUCAUAUACAUUAGACUGGUAUCAUCGAGUUCUGAUCUCUUCUGUUGUUCUUUAACUGACACUCUGGCUUGCCAGUGUCAGCUGCUACAUUCUGAUACAGUGAAGUCGAAGGAAUCUAGUGGCCAAGAGUCGUAGUUUAGAAACAACCCAUCUGAAUACUGCCUUUACCACUUUGAUACCUGAAAAGAUCAUCCCUGUUUCUAAAACCUGAAAACAACAUAUAGAGAAAUACUGUAGAAACCAGUGCUAGUGGCUUAACUAGGAAAAGCAAGUAGACUCAUCAACAGUCCUUUCAAAACAAGACCUAAACAAUUUUUUCCAGUUUCAAUUUUCAUAGACAUUUUUAAAAAAUUAAACACACCUUGUCACCCAGUGCUAGCAAAAAUUGUAAAGAGCAAAACCAAAGUUUUUGAUGUUAGUCUUAUUUUUGUAAGCAGGGUAUACUAUAGUCAUGGCCCAUAUGGAACACACAGGCAGCCGGCUUUCUGCUACCUGAGCCUUGGAGAAGAUGAAAAGGAAGGGCUGUCUGCUGUGCUGCCCUUUGAAAAGGUCCAAAGCAGACAUGAGAACACACAGCAGAAGUCACCUUCUCCUUCUGAUGAUCGCCUUUCAAAAGGCUUAACAGAAUCACCAAAUGUCACGGUCAGCUAUUGGCCAGUGGAAAAUUGUCUGGGCCUGUAUAUGUUGGAGGAACUCAGAUAGAAAAGGACUUGUAAACAGCAUGGAAACUUCAACAUCUGCUGUCUCAAGCACUUGAAUGAGGCUACAAUUCAGGUGUUACUGGAUGACUUAACUGCACGGACAUUUGGGGGCUGACUUGUGAUUAUUCCAAUUGUGGGCUUUGGAGAAGCAGAGGGAUGGUUUUCAGUUGUGCGGGUGUUAAGUCUAUGGAUUGGGAAUUUACCACUGAAAUUGAUCGUUCAAAGUGUGACUUCAUAGUAGGGCCAGCUCCUCCUAAGUUGUCCUUUUGUUUUUCACAUAAAAUACAUCUGGUACUUUUUACUUGUGAAGUUGUACUAUGUCCAUGAAAAUAGUUAAAUGAGAAGGCCAUCAAGAUUCAUUUAAUAGCUGAAAAGCAAUUUUUAAAAUAGAAUAGGACGAAUUUAACAUGGAAUGAUGUGACCUAGGGAACUUUUUAUAGAGAGCUUACAUACUGUAAUUGGGGAGAAUUUUGUCUUCUAUUUCCAUUGAACAGUAGCAAACUGGUGGUUUUAUAAAAUUAACAUUAUAGUAUGUUAUAUAAAUAAAUGUUAUAUAAAAUGACAUUAAAGUAUAACUGUGAAAAAUUAAAGACUUGGAGUUAUCCACAACCUUUAUGUGCAAUAAGGAAAACUGCAGUAGGCCCCCAAAGUGCUGUCUUUCCCUAGCAUUUUACUCAAUGUUUGCCUUUGUGUAUGUUUAGAUUGUUAUUGUAAAGCUAGCCAUGUGUGUUCCUGCCCUUUACUGAUAUUUAACACAUUUUCUCAAAGCUUUUUUUUUUUUUUUUAACAAAACUCAAAAUAAAACAACUAAC
rnacentral:lncRNA from 1 species